rnacentral:rRNA from 1 species
CAGUCGCCGCGGUAAUACGUAGGUGGCAAGCGUUGUCCGGAAUUAUUGGGCGUAAAGGGCUCGCAGGCGGUUUCUUAAGUCUGAUGUGAAAGCCCCCGGCUCAACCGGGGAGGGUCAUUGGAAACUGAGAAACUUGAGUGCAGAAGAGGAGAGUGGAAUUCCACGUGUAGCGGUGAAAUGCGUAGAGAUGUGGAGGAACACCAGUGGCGAAGGCGACUCUCUGGUCUGUAACUGACGCUGAGGAGCGAAAGCGUGGGGAGCGAACAGGAUUAGAUACCCCUGUAGUCCCUGUCUCUUAUAC